rnacentral:misc_RNA from 1 species
CCAUGAGAGAACUAAUCAAACCCGAAAAAUCACUGCCUGGUGAUUGGCUACAGGCAACUGGACCAGCAUUUUGAGAGUUAGGUAUCAUUUGAGAAGCAGGAGGAGGACCUGGAGGUAGAGGUGGCCGGACCCCAACCUGUGAAUGCAAGGCGUUUGGGAUAUUGUUGAAUACUAAAGGAAGCCCAGCAGGUACAGCAUUUGAAGGAACCAUACUCAUGACAGCACCAUGCCCUUUCAUGGCAUAUCCAUGGCACAGUGGAAGAGACUGUGGAUAAGGAGGCAGUGAAGCCACAGAUGGCGGAAGAUUUUCUAGAGCCUCAUUAGAUGGAAGAUACUGUAGCUGAAAAGGAUUAGAUUGAGACUGGUUUGGCUUAUUCUGAGUAGUACGUUGACCGGGUAAUAGUGGUCGCUUCAUCAAACUGGGUUCUUUGCUUUCAACACUAUUGAACUGUUGCUCCGUCAAAAAGGAAGACUUAUGUAAACUAUGAUUUACAGUAUUAGUUCCAGUUACUGAAUCAAAUUGACUUCUACUCUGCUUCUGUGGUGGAAAAAUGUGGUGCACAGGAGGUGGAUGAGAUUUAUGCA